rnacentral:lncRNA from 1 species
AAAUCCAACUUUUAAACGCUUUGUGAACAGGCCCAGAGGCAAAGUCCUGGGCGCAAACCCACGAGCCGAGCUGCGAGGCUGAGAGGAAGUGCUAGUCCAGCCCAACCCCGCACUGGAUUUGGUGUGGAAACCGUCAGAGGUAAAAGGGAUCGCUCAGAUGGGGGGCCCGCGGUGAGGGCAGGAGGCAAAACCCCACCGCCCGGCGCUCCCAGCCAGCGCGCAGCGGGAGGCGGCUGUGCCGCGGGCCCGUCCUUCGCGUCCGAGCUGCCGCGCACGCCCCGCGCGGAGCGCGGCACCGGGAGCCUCCGGUGGGGCUGGGUCCCGUCUCCCGCCCCAUCCGGCGCUUUGUCCCAGCCCCGGUGGCCGGCGGCCCCGCUGCGGGCCCCCGGGCCGCGGUGACAGCCCCCGUCCCCAUAGGGCUGCGAGCCCGGGAGUCCCUAUAGGCUGGCGACCGGUCGCCCGCCGGACCUCACCCAGGCGGGACGCGGCAGGAGGACGCUCGCCCUGCCGGAGGGGCCGCCGCCGCCGCCCGAAGCGCACGCAGGCCAAGCUCAGGCGCCAAAAGCCUUGGACUUCGAAACACACGACUUCCAACAUCCUAAGCUUACCCAAAAAUUCUCGACGAAAUACGCCAUGACCAUCGUGCCGCCGCCGCGCCGGGUUCCGCGUCCGCGCCCGCCCGCCGCUGUGUAAACACGGCCCGGCCCCCACAGCACCCCCGCCUUUCGCCGCCGCCGCCUUCUUCCCAGAGACCGGCCCGCACCUUCCAGGGCGCAUGCGCCACCUAGCGGCUGCCGCAGCUGGGCGAGCACUUAGACGCCACGGCCACGGUGUGCGCAUGCGCCCUGUCCCCAUUCUCGGGUGUUGGUAGAUCUCUCUGCAUCCCGGGCGCGGCUGGGUUGAGUGUUCUCUUAGGAAUGGUGGAGAACUGGGUCCUUGAGGAGUCACCGGGGAGACUGCUCGCACUGUUUGUGGUGCGACGGGCACUGGCCCAGGGACAGAGGGAAGAGAAGGGCCAGCCAGCGGCAGUGGAGUCGGCAGGCUGGCUGCCCACUCGCUUUCUCUCCUCACAAGACUCGCUUCCCCGGCCUUCGAGGAUCUCGAACGGACUAUAGUCUGGACUCGCUGGGCUGGAGGAAACUUGGCCGCUGGCCACCCGGAGGAGACUGAGAAGCCUUUGGUCAACAGGGCGCCUUUCCUUGAACCAAAACAAAACUUUCCGAAGCCGGAAAGGAAACGCCCAGUGUCGCCUGAGAGCCCUGGAGCUGCGCGAGACCCAGGCACUGAGUGCGGCCUCGGCCUCUGACCUCUAACACGCCGGGAACAAACCAGCUGGGGCGGCCCGCAGGCCUGCGGGAGCGGAAUGUGACCCGAAACCGACGGACUUCCUGACCCAUAGUCCAUAGUUCUCUUCAGCAACUUGAACAUUUUGGAAAAAGAAACAAGUCUUAACAUGCCACGACCUAAUGGAAAAACUAAAUCCCCUUCCUACACCUUGCUUUCCAAAAGUUAAAAAAAAAUAGUUAAACGCUAUUAGAGGUCUCAAGUUCACUGUCACCAGAUCAGCUAGGUCCAGAAUCUUCAGUUCUUGAAGCCAAGCCCUACAAAUAGAUUUAUUGUAGCAUAUCACACCUCUUCAGGUGACUUAAAACAAUGAGAAUUCAUGAGAAAUUAUCUUCAUCCUCAAGUAAAAAUCAUGAGGUGCCUUUCACAUGGAUGAAAUUGUAAGUGCUUGUUGAACAAGGAAUAAUUGGAUAAUGGUAUUGUGGUCAUACUUUUUAAGAAUAUCUGUUAGAAAGAUAUAGGAUGCAGAACAUCUAGGAUUUGCUGAAAGUCAUUUAUUAUGGAUAGGGGUAUGAGUAAGGUCAUAGAUGAAAAGGGAUGAAACAAGAUUGGCCAUAGUUGCUCUAUUUUUGUGUAUCUUGUUUCUUUAUUUUGUUUCUUUAAAAAGUCCUCAUAUCACUGACAUUUACACUUAGUUUUAGGGAAAGUCAAAUUUAGAAAUAAGCUACAGCUCUCUAAGCUAUCGGUCUAACUGGAUUUUUCUCGAUGCUGAAGAACUUUUUAAAAAAUUCAGCCAUCUAGGUCACACAGCAAAUACAUUUGGCAUUAAAUUCCUAGUAUCACUAAAGUACUCCCUCCCACCGCCGCGCCCCCCCCCUUCCCCCCGCACCCUUAGACCUGGGCAAGAGAGACUUCUAUCCUGGACUCCAUGCUUUAAAGGAACUUACAUAUCACACACACACAUUAAUUUAAAAAAAAAUAGGUGCCCCUGCCGCUUGUGAUCUGAUACUGAACACUGGCUCAUAACCAUAAAUUCCCUCUCCCAGUGAAGAACACUAUUCAGGCCCCAGGAAAACUCUUCUUCCUAUCUUUUGUCUUCUGUCCUCAAAACAAACGGUGAACUCCAAAAGCAGUGAAAAUUUGUACAUAGCAUGGCUGCCCAUUUCAGAGACUGCUUUGGAGUCAGAAUUUGAGCAGCAGAAAUGCUUAGGUAAGAGAGAAGACAAAUUAACUUGUCAAAUCCUUCAUCUCAGCUUGAAUGCUAUAGAUUCCUGCAUGACAAAGUAUUGUUUCUCAGUAGUAUCAAGCAUACAUUUUCCUUUUGUUAGUGUUCCAAUGUGUGGCUAUUACCUACAGACAAUUUAGUAUAGUAUUCACAAUAGUUACUGGCCUUCAUUCGCAUUCUUCUGCUCCCCUUAAAUUUAGGAGUAGAUCUGGAAUGAAAAUAAGUAUUCUGAGUAUUUCAGGUAUUUGCAAGGUUCAUUAGGGCCGAAACACCAUAUCCUGUAAUUGCCUGAUGUUUAAGUUGUGGAACUUUAUAGUAAACAGUGAUUAAGGUGACUAAAUUUCAGACAAGACUGUGUAGUAUAGGAAGAGCGUGGAUGGUAUCAGCCUCCUUCUGCACUCUCAAGUGAGGUUUCCAGGGAUGAACAUACAUUCUGGCAGAGCAUAGAUAAGCUCCUGAGUGGGUAGUGCUGGGUGGGGUUACAGGCAUGAGCCACCGAGCUUAUAUGCGUUAAAGUGUUUGUGCCACACUCUCUUAGACUUUGCUUAUCAAAAUGUAUUUCAUUUUGAAAUUAUUAAAAACCAACAUAGAUAACAACAGUGUACAAGUCACUGCCUAUAAUACCUGUCACUUAAGAGUCAGUAAAUGUUCAGUGAAUGAAUGAAUGAUGACAUCUAUCAUAGAAAUGUCAAGGUAGAUGAGACCUUGAAUAUGUAAUAAUUCCAUUAUCUUUUACACAUUCUCUUUUUUUUUUUUUUUUUUGAGACAGAGUCUCGCUUGGUUGCCCAGACUGGAGUGCAGUGGUGCGAUCUCAGCUCACUGCAACCUCCACCUCCCAGGUUCAAGCGAUUCUCAUGCCUCAGCCUCUCAAGCAGCUGGGACUACACAUGCCCACCACCACGCCUGACUAAUUUGUGUAUUUUUAGUAGACACGGGGUUUCACCACGUUGGCCAGGCUGGUCUCGAACUCCUGACCUCAAGUGAUCCGCCUGUGUGGGCCUCCCAAAGUGCUGGGGUUACAGGCAUAAGCCACCGCGCCCAGCCUACUCAUCCUCUUUAAUUGGUGCUUGAUCCUAGAGUUU